ACACCAGCGACAUUACGGUAUCUGCAGGGGCACGCAAAGCAGUGAAAGUUCACGUUUCCGAUGAGCGUGCAGGGAAAUGAUUGCACGAUAAAGUGAAAAUAGCCGAUCAGACCACUUCAGCAUAGCAGAGGAUUACGGUCUGGUAGGGAAAUAGCCACAGGUGUUAUUUUGCUUGAUCGGUUGAAGACCCACUCCAUUUUGAUGGGCUCCUGGCUAACCACAGCGAAGAGGCGCACCAGGCGAAGAUGCUGAAGGUUCUUCAUCACAUUGGCUUCGGCCAGGAAGGCUUCCGUCGACAUUGUGCCGAUCUUCAGACCCUUGAUGGCAACCUUCCGGUCAUUAUUGUAUAAACCUAAAAAGAGGUUGUUACUGUACUUGAAAAUGAAAAACCCUACUGUACAUUCAUAAAACCUACUGUUUAGUCAUGUAUAAAAGAAGACUUGGAGGACAAGGAUGAAUCGCUCAACAGUCGAUCACAGUACAUGAUGUCUCUAAGAGCACCAUGUCUAUCUUGAAAGCUGGAGGUCAAAAACCAGUUGGCCGUGGAACCUCUCGAUGAAGCCAUUCAAUGUCACCGUUUUCAAGAAAAAUACACCACUAAAAUCGUACCGUCAAUCAUCAGGCAUUCAUACGCGGCAAGAUCUCUUUUUAGUGAGCAUCAGUCAAUCUCUGUCUGGGUGUCUUACUUUUGAUUUGACUUUUUUCAUGUCUUUGUUAUGAUACGUUUUCCACAAAAAAGGACACGCCUUAAUGAGGAGUCCGAAGUUGAAUGGAGUGCGUGGAAACCUUCAAAGCGGUAAGACUCGAGUGUCAACCCAUAUACGUUGUUACUUGUUAUUACAGGUAAGGCGGACAUUUUUUUUUUUCAUGUUUUACACAUGAAAAAAAACAAAACAUUUAAGCUUUGCAUGACACAUUUGUCACUGAAGUUAGGACGGAAUGUUUUAUUGUUGUUACCUCUUAAUAAUAACAGUGUUUGACAAUGACAGUUUAGAAUGUUCAAAUUUGACAAAUAGUUGCCUUAACAGUUGAUAAAGAUUUUAUUAUGUGAGACAGUUUGAUCUGGAAUCCAUUAUUUCUAUUUCAGUUACUUUCCUAGGUGAAAAAACAACCCCCCAAAAAACCAAAUGAGGUCGAUGGGUUGGACUUGAAGUAGCUGAAAUAUGAACAAGUCGAAGCGAAGGUCACGUUUUCCGAUAGUUCAUCGCAGGUGGUAUGAGGACAUUUCCAAACAGAGGAAACAGUCUUCCAAUGAAUGAUGCAGGGGCCGUGACUCAUAUUGUGUAAAUACUGUAAUAGCCAUUUAAGCAAAGCUAUUUCGCCGCCGGGUGAACUUGCACAAUGUCUGGUCAUGCUCCUAUUGUUAAUAGAGAAUUCCUUAAAUGCAAUAAAAUCAGCGGAUCAGGUCGAUGAAUGGACUUUGAGUUAUGCUUCAUGACAAGGUUGAUUUCUUGCAUUAUUCUCCAGGUCAAAGAGCUCAAAGUAGCACACCGUUAAGACUCUACUGGGUAAUUCACCCUGACUAAUGCGAGUGCUGACGACUACGUGUGGUCUUGCCCAUACAGCGAUAAAGAACACGGUGGUUGCUCCUCUCACCCAUCCAGACGUCUCCAAACUGGCCGGCACCAAGCUUAUUCACCAGUUUCAGGGACUCCCGGGGGAUCUCCCACUCAUCUUGCCACCAUGGUUUCUGAGGAGCUCUCGACUGGCAUGGCUUCACCAACCGAGCACACAAACCGUCUGCAUCGCCUGGAUGACGGAAAGUGGAUCAGUUGGAGGCAUCGCAACAAUUCACUCGGCACUUUUGGUUGUUUUUUUUCCCAAAGUGUACUAAAUACACAUACGUGUAUGAUGCUGGACGAGCUCCUUCAGUGAAUUAAAAGAUAUCUUGGUCGUAAUGUAGAAACCACCGUUGUCCAAGUUACGGAUCCUGUAGUGCUUCACUUCAUCGCCCGUGUUUUGGUCAAAGUCCCUCAUUGAUAAGGAGAAAGACCCUGAAACAAAUAGGAUGCAAACAUUUACCUUCAAAUCAUGCGGGUAACAUUUGAUUGCCAAUGAACAGUUGAGCUUUUAUGAUUUAUCAUAUUUAUUAUCAUUAUUACAGAUUCGAUUUGGUCUCCACGAAGAAAGCCUGCUUACACUUUUUGUUACCUCCACCGAGCGGAAAAGUGCAGGUACAAAAACGAUAGAAUCGAUUUCCAUCUUGUGGAGUGGCGGUACGGGUCACUGGAGUCGCAUUUGAAACCCAGAGGGCACGGCAUCGUUGGCGGUCUUCUGCACUUUGGGUGGAUUCACAACAUAUGCUAUCCAUUGCUGUACAUACACGGCCCUAAAACGUCUGAAGCACUUCUCUGCUACAAAAUGCUUUCGUUGAUCAGGAACCAAAUCACGCAACGUGGCAAGACCACCAAACUCUCACCGCCAGAGUCGAGGUGCUGCACUGGUCUCACAUCUGGACCCAUAUUUUCCCUUGGCCAUUCAUUUAUGUUUUUCCCCGUUGGGGAUGGCUACUUUGGAUGAAGCUCUAGCAUAGCCCCACCCCCCACCGCCCACCCCCUUUUUGUUUAGUUUUCCUUUUCUUUUCUUUUUUGUGCGUGGAUAUAACGCUUCCUGACUUCAACACUCCCUUUUGAACCUGGCUUGGGACCGGCACUGAGUUGGGCUGGCAAAGGCUGAAGGAGCCCUUCGUGUUCCCGGGAGCGAGCAGGAGCCUCAUGGAAUCGUUUCUCGAAAUGUUCUUAAAGAACCACCUGCAACACACGACAGGCUUCACAUCCCAAAGCAAACAGUCUUUGACGUCUUUUAGGCCGGUGGACUGGCACUGAGGUUGAAUGACACAGCUUUAGGGUCCGCAUCUUUAUCAAUAAAUGGCCUGUGUGACGUACGGUUCGGUCUCCUCUGUUGUCAUUGCAAUGAAGUUGUGUGGCACGAAGCCCUUCUGUCCUGUGGUGAGAGACUCUGCCAAAUACCACUCUGGAUCAUCCCUGACAGUCAAAACACAACAAUAUCAGGAGUUGGCUAAGAUAUGUGCAAAUCGGAGAUAAAUGAAUAUAGAUAUGAGCAUAUAUUUUCCAGGAAUUUCACUUUGUGAAUGGAGGAAAGUGUUUCUUUGUAACUUCAACAAUCGCAGCCCAACUGUCACUGUCACUGUGUAAAGGAGAAUUCGGUUGGACAGAUGCCAAACUACACAAUGGACUCCAGCUAAGGACUCUCGCAUUCUUCCGCUGACUAUUUUUCUAAUGAGUUUCAUCGUACUUUGCAGAAAACACCUCCAAAAAAAACAAACAAAAAAAACUAGUUACCAUUACUGUCACAUUUACUCCAAAAGUGACACAUAAUAAGUUUCAGUAGGCUAUACUCUGUAGCCAGAAUAACCAAUUCUUAAUAGAUAAUACAUUAUUAAGAUGAAUCCAUAUGUACUGAUGACCUAACUAUGCAUUUCAGGUGUACUUAUAUUGUUGCAUUGAUUAAAACAAGCAUCAUAUGUAAUAAUCCUUGCAUGUAUUUUGUGCAAAAUAUUUGUCUGAAAAGUAACUUGUAAAUAAAUACUUAGUUCCAUUCAAGCUACACGUGUGAUAACGUAAGAAAAGGACCGGAAUGUGAAAAAGAGUUUAUUAAUGUAACGUGAAAUUCUAUCUGAGCACUAAAUCACUCCAUGAACAAUGCAGUGUAUAUUGAUUUAUUUUGCCGUUGUAUUGGAGUAUAUUUGAGUCAAACAAAAGGCAGAGGUCAUAAUAGGCGGACCGUUAAAAGCACAGCAACAUCAACCUACAGCAUUUGCUGCGACGGAGUGUG